rnacentral:misc_RNA from 1 species
UUUAAGAGAUUUGUUGGAAUUAUGUUGAGCAGUGAAGCUUUUGUUUUUAUUUUCUUGGUUUAAUUAUGUAGCUACUGCUCUACUCUCUCCCUCAGUUAUUUCUUCUCUUUUAGCUAGUUUUAGGACACAAACCCACUUACUCUCGACUUCUGGAUACCCAUUACAAUGAUGUCUGAAGAUGGGUUUUCUGUUCCCUCUUCCAUCAGAGGCUUUGUUCUUCGAGAACAAACUCCAAACCCUAACCCUAACCCUACUGCAAAUCUUGUAAAGAAGAAGAGAAAUUUACCAGGAACACCAGAUCCAGAUGCAGAAGUUAUAGCUUUAUCACCGAAAUCUCUCAUGGCAACAAACAGAUUCAUUUGCGAAAUCUGCAACAAGGGUUUCCAGAGAGACCAAAAUCUUCAACUUCACAGAAGAGGCCACAAUCUCCCAUGGAAGCUCAAGCAAAGAUCAACCAAAGAGGUUCGCAAAAAGGUGUAUAUCUGCCCUGAAAAGAGCUGCGUGCACCACGAUCCAUCGAGAGCCCUAGGUGACCUCACAGGAAUAAAGAAGCAUUAUAGCAGAAAGCAUGGAGAGAAGAAGUGGAAGUGCGAGAAAUGUUCAAA